ACUGUGGUGAACAUUCAUAAACAUUUGUGUGCUGUGUAUGGAAGCUGUGUAGUCGAUAGGAGCACCGUUGGUCGCUGGGCUGCGAGAUUUAGAGCUUACAAGUUGAUGGGGGACUAUGUAGAAAAAUAGUUGGAUGCAGCUCUCAUUCGUCCAGGCAGAGUUGAUUUGAAGGAGUUCAUCGGUUACUGUAGCCACGAACAAUUGGAAUUAAUGUUCCUUCGUUUCUAUCGGAGUGAAGGGUCAGCAGCUCUUUCAGCAUCAUUUGCAGACUCUGUUCUUAAAUUUAAUAAAGCUGUUAGUCCUGCCCAGAUUCAAGGAUAUUUCAUGCUUUAUAAAGAAAAUGAACAAGAAGUUCUUAAAAAUGUGGCAAAAAUAUGGACGCAAUCUUAGGAGUCGGUGAUAGUGCAUACAUUUUCUUACAUUCUAUAAUGUAGACUGUGAACCUGCAGUACGUUGUCAGUUUUAAUAAAAUUGAGUCUUAGGGAUUAUUGUGUAAGAUUUGAGGCUUUCACAGCGGUGAGUAUGAAGAUUUCCGUCUUCUGGGUUAUUGCGCUGUGUAGUCUGGUCGAAGUUAACCAACGUUGCAGAGGUCAUACUGCCUCCGUCAUCAGCGCCCAGAAGACGGAAAUCUUUUUAGGGAUUAUUUUAAUCGCAGUCAGCCCUUUUUUCUUCGCCCCUCAUUGAUAUUUUUACUACACAGUUCAGCGACAAAUCGUGUCGAAAGAGGUAGUCAUUCUACCUUAGAUUCGUUUUGAAUCGAGGUUACGUGUGUUAAUAUUAUUAUAUGUCCAUAUAUUGUAUGACUUAGGAGCCGAUGGACAGAAAUUAUCAGUAAUAAUUUUUUUAUCGGGUCAUAAACAUGAUUUUUCUGUAGGACGUUACAAAUAAAGGAUCUGACAACGAAAAUAAUUA